AUGUAGCUAGUUAGAUCUAGCAGCACUGCCAUCAAUAUUAAGGGUUCAGUGGGACCAUUCUUUAAGUCCUCUGCGGGAGUGAAACAGGGGGACCCCAUCUCCUCACUCCUCUUCAACCUUGCCGUUGAUGCCUUAGUAGGGAUCCUAGAUAAGGCUAGGAGGGUUGGCCACCUCUCGGGCGUAGUUGUGCAUUUGAUCCCAGGCAGAGGGGUCACCCACCUACAAUAUGUUGACGAUACUAUGAUUAUGGUGGAAGUGAAGGACCUUGAUAUCAUGAAUCUGAAGUUCCUGCUCCUCUGUUUUGAGGCGAUGUCUGGACUGAAGAUUAACUUUGAUAAGAGUGAGAUUGUUGUCAUGGGCUUCUCGAUGGAAUAA
rnacentral:rRNA from 1 species